rnacentral:sRNA from 1 species
UAAUUAUUAAACAUUUUGACGAUAGAAACACUAAGAAAGCUAUUUACUGCGUCUAAGAAAAUAUUUGUUGGUUUUAGCCUCUUUUGGGAUAAAAUGGGUAUAAGUGUUGUCUAAACACUCCUAAUCCAUCUCUAACUCUUAUAAUUAGUCGAAUGCAUUGGAUUGUGAUACCUUUUGACCAUAAAAACACUAACAAAGUUAUUUACAGCUUCCAAGCAAUAUUUUGUUGGUUAUAGCUUCUUUGGGAGAAAAUGGGUAUAAGUGUUUUCUAAACACUCCUAAUCCAUCUCUAACUCUUAUAAUUAGUCAAAUGCAUUGGAUUGUGACACAUUUUGACCAUAGAAACACUAACAAAUCUAUUGACCGCUUCUAAGCAAGUUUUGUUGGUUUUAGCCUCUUUUGGGAGGAAAUGGGUUAUAAGUGUUAUCUAAACACUUCUUGUCCAUCCCUAACUCUUAUAAUUAAUCAAUUGUAAAUUUUUGUUGGUUUUAGCCUCUUUUGGGAGAAAAUGGGUAUAAUUGUUGUCUAAACACUCCUAAUCCAUCUCUAACUAUUAUAAUUAGUCGAAUGCAUUGGAUUGUGAUACCUUUUGACCAUAAAAACACUAACAAAGUUAUUUACUACUUCUAAGCAAUAUUUUGUUGGUUAAAGCUUCUUUUGUGAGUAAAUGGGUAUAAGUGUUGUCUAAACACUCCUAAUCCAUCGCUAGCUCUUAUAAUUAGUCAAAUGCAUUGGAUUGUGACACAUUUUGACCAUAAAAACACUUACAAAGCUAU